rnacentral:lncRNA from 1 species
GUGGCCUUCCAGGAAAAGUGGGGGAUGAAAGAAGGGGGCGGGGUGGACAGAAAACACCCUACAGUGACCAAGGGGGCCAGGGACUAAGACUAGCCACCAAGUCCUUGAAUCCAGGCCCAAGAGAACCUAUGACCUGCUGGAUUUCACACACCAAGUCCCUGUCCCACCCUAUGGAAGCCACGCCCUAUGUUCCAGAGUCUCAAUGGAAGGUGGGGUUGUUUUCUGAGGAUGGCCACCACUAGAUAGCCUCAUUGACUGGUGAGACCUUUGCCCCUUCCUCCCAAACCUGAGCAUCUCCACCUGACCUGGGAUGCCUCGGGAGAAAGAGGAGCUACUCAGAAAGUGUCACUCAGCUGCACCUUCCUCCUGGGGCACUGGCUCCUGGAAGCCAUCGCCACGAAGUGAGGAUGCCAACACCCCAAGGAUCACCUCAACUUCACCUGGGAAAUUCCACACCUCCACACCUCCACUUAAACUGCGACACUUAGGAUGACCUCAUCUGUCCUAGGGGUGGCUCUUUUCUCUUGCCACCAUCCUGUUGCAGGGAGCCAGCUCCACCAGUCUGCUGCCUCCAACGUUCUUACUCCGGUGAUGAAAGCAAUAUACCGUUCUUAGUGUGGUGUGUUGGGGC